GUCAAUGGCUAUGCUACCCUGAACAAGCCUGAUCCUGUCUGAUCUCGGAAGCUAAGCAGGGUCGGACCUGGUUAGUACUUGGAUGGGAGACCACCUAGGAAGACCAGGUACUGUAGGUG
rnacentral:rRNA from 1 species